AGCUUCCUAGUGAUUGCCAUGGGCUGUGUUCUAUAACGAACAUAUAGAAAGAGGAGGCAAAGUAAACCUAUCCCAUAUACACCUCGGCCCAGGCUCUGUAUUGUGAAUGGGAACAGGG
rnacentral:snoRNA from 1 species